rnacentral:rRNA from 1 species
GACGAACGCUGGCGGCGUGCCUAAUACAUGCAAGUAGAACGCUGAAGGAGGAGCUUGCUUCUCUGGAUGAGUUGCGAACGGGUGAGUAACGCGUAGGUAACCUGCCUGGUAGCGGGGGAUAACUAUUGGAAACGAUAGCUAAUACCGCAUAAGAGUAGAUGUUGCAUGACAUUUACUUAAAAGGUGCAAUUGCAUCACUACCAGAUGGACCUGCGUUGUAUUAGCUAGUUGGUGAGGUAACGGCUCACCAAGGCAACGAUACAUAGCCGACCUGAGAGGGUGAUCGGCCACACUGGGACUGAGACACGGCCCAGACUCCUACGGGAGGCAGCAGUAGGGAAUCUUCGGCAAUGGACGGAAGUCUGACCGAGCAACGCCGCGUGAGUGAAGAAGGUUUUCGGAUCGUAAAGCUCUGUUGUAAGAGAAGAACGAGUGUGAGAGUGGAAAGUUCACACUGUGACGGUAUCUUACCAGAAAGGGACGGCUAACUACGU